rnacentral:rRNA from 1 species
GGUUGAUCCUGCCAGUAGCAUAUGCUUGUCUCAAAGACUAAGCCAUGCAUGUCUAAGUAUAAACAAAUCUAUACUGUGAAACUGCGGACGGCUCAUUAAAUCAGUUAUAAUUUACUUGAUCGUAUACUCUUACUCGGAUAACCCUAGUAAUUCUAGAGCUAAUACGCGCGAAAAAACCGAACUAUCACUCUCGGGUGAUUGGAACGGUUGUGUUUAUUAGGUACAAAAUCAAUGCAGGGUUUCGGCCCUGGUUCCUUGAUGAUUCAUAAUAACCAAGCGAAUCGCAGAGGUAG